AUGGAAACAACAGCUAUCGCCAGUCGUAUUCAGUUUAUACUACUGAAAGACAGCUGCCUACGCAAUUUCCAUUGUCCAGCUUGCAUCCUCUCUGUAGCCUCGCCACCUAUGACCUCGUCAAUGAGGUCCCGGAAGAUGGAUCUUUCAAUGUCCAAAACCAUGCCUUGUAGCUCACCUUCAGGGCUACCCCAAUCUUUCAUCUCAUACAAUGCAUCCUCAGAUAAUGGUAUGUUUUCAUCCUCAUCCUCUUCGGAGCAUAUCGCUGCCGAGCUCUCGGACAAGAGCCUGUCGACCUCUGUGCACAAUUCCUUGAAAAGACGCCACCCACUUAACUUCCUUGAUCGAAGAAGUUUCGCUGUUCCACUUGCAGAGCUAUAUAUGUUCAUCUUCUGA
rnacentral:rRNA from 1 species